rnacentral:rRNA from 1 species
UCUCAGUUCGGAUUGAAGGCUGAAAUUCGCCUUCAUGAAGCCGGAAUUGCUAGUAAUGGCAGGUCAGCAUACUGCCGUGAAUACGUUCCCGGGCCUUGUACACACCGCCCGUCACACCAUGAGAGUUGGGAAUACCCGAAGCCUGUGAGCUAACGAAAGAGGCAGCAGUCGAAGGUAGAAUCAAUGAUUGGGGUGAAGUCGUAACAAGGUAGC